UAACCCUCAUUCAUGGGACUUUAUUGUCGCAUGAAUGGACUUGGAUGCUGCCGUAGAUGGCUCGUCCCAAAUGAAUUAGCUUUGCGUCUAUUAGCGCGCUCGGCGUGGUGUGAUAGUUAUCUUCGCCCGCCUCAGGCCGCUUCCAAUGGCGUCGCUUCCAACCGUCCCUCGUGGACAAUUUAACACAAAG
rnacentral:misc_RNA from 1 species